CAAUAGCGUAUAUUAAAGUUGUUGCAGUUAAAAAGCUCGUAGUUGGAUUUCUGGGAGGGUGCCGAUGUCCACUUAACGUGUGCGCAGCGGCGCCCUCUCAUCCUUCUGUUAGCGUCUCUUGGCAUUCAUUUGCUGGUGGCGGGCUCAGAUAUUUUACCUUGAGAAAAUUAGAGUGUUUCAGGCAGGCUAGGCCGGAAUACAUUAGCAUGGAAUAAUGGAAUAGGACUACGGUCUCUUUGUUGGUUUGAGGGACUGCAGUAAUGAUUAAUAGGGAUAGUUGGGGGCAUUAGUAUUUAAUUGUCAGAGGUGAAAUUCUUGGAUUUAUGAAAGACGAACUUCUGCGAAAGCAUUUGCCAAGGAUGUUUUCAUUAAUCAAGAACGAAAGUUGGAGGCUCGAAGAUGAUCAGAUACCAU
rnacentral:rRNA from 1 species